GAUGAACGCUGGCGGCGUGCUUAACACAUGCAAGUCGAACGGAAAGGCCUCAGCUUGCUGGGGUACUCGAGUGGCGAACGGGUGAGUAACACGUGGGUGAUCUGCCCUGCACUUUGGGAUAAGCUUGGGAAACUGGGUCUAAUACCGAAUAUGACCACUUCUUGGAUGUUGUGGUGGAAAGCUUUUGCGGUGUGGGAUGAGCCUGCGGCCUAUCAGCUUGUUGGUGGGGUAAUGGCCUACCAAGGCGGCGACGGGUAUCCGGCCUGAGAGGGUGUACGGACACAUUGGGACUGAGAUACGGCCCAGACUCCUACGGGAGGCAGCAGUGGGGAAUAUUGCACAAUGGGCGCAAGCCUGAUGCAGCGACGCCGCGUGGGGGAUGAAGGCCUUCGGGUUGUAAACUCCUUUCAGCAGGGAAGAAGCGAAAGUGACGGUACCUGCAGAAGAAGCACCGGCUAACUACGUGCCAGCCGCCGCGGUAA
rnacentral:rRNA from 1 species